rnacentral:lncRNA from 1 species
UUAUUUAUUUAUUUGCCAUACUAGGGAUGGAACCCAGGACCUCGUGUGUGGCAAGCAAGCACUGUGCUGCUGACCUGUACCCAGCCUACCCUUCUAUUUCCUACCUGUCCCUCCUAUGAAGAAGAUAGACUCUAGCCUGGAGAAUGGCCCCACCUCCACUGCCUGGGAUGGGGAAGUGAAGAGUGGCCGUCCUCCAUUGUAACAGCUGUCCUCUUAGAACCGCUUUGCUUGGCUCUGGGAUCCUGGCUCUCUCCUGUACAGCCCCACGGGAAGCUCCCCACACCUCUCACAUGAGGACCGAAGUAUGCUUGGAGAGGUUCCAUCUCCCCAGUGGGGCUUAUGUCCUCUGUGGGGUGGACAGUAUUAGGUACUCACUCCAGAGAUGGACACCGUGCCCUGCUUCUGGGCCUGAGAAAAGCAAUUGAUAGCUGUGCCCAGUGCCCAGGCAUCUGUCCAUGCUCCUUCCAGAGGGUUCUUAUCUGUCU